rnacentral:lncRNA from 1 species
GGGGGGCGGACUGGAAGGUGUCGGAAGCAUUAGCAGUAAGAAAACAUGUCAACAGAAUAAAAUAUUAACCAAUGACAGAAAGGCUCGGGAAAUCCCACCCCCAGCUCGGAGCCAAAGAGCGGGUCAGCCCUCCGUCCGCGGCCGGGGGAGAGAGCACCGCGCCCGGCCUGCGCUUCAUCACUCACUCGGGGGGCUUUGGACCACGUCCGGGGCGGCACAUGUGCACCACGAGCCACCCGCUUCACACACCACUUUAAAAAUAUCUAACUUUUGUCUAAUUUUUAUCCCAUGCGUCCGGAUGUGCUUUGUUCCGUGUGCAUUCAUGGCAGAAUUAAUAUGGGCAAUAAAAGUGAAAUGAAUGAAAAGAAAAACAGAUGCGCCGGUGUCUUUAAGGAAUUUAAUUCCGAGUGCGGCAUUUGAAAAGCCCUAGAAUAAAUUCAAUUAUGCACGAAAUAUUUUUCUACUCCACCCUAUUCCAGUGUUUAUAUUUAAUUCUGGGUAAUUGCUGGUGCUCUGCUGGGGUUCUUUGUGCUCUCAAACUGGGGGUCUAAUUCCUCAUUCCUCGUGACAUGAUACCGGACUCUUUAUUUGAACUGUGCGCUAAAGCUCUCCGUCCGGGUGCCGAGGCGAGGGCGGCGAGGGCGGCGAGGGCAGCGAGCGACACGCCGGACGCCGGACGCAGGACGCCGGGACGCCGACAGCCGAAGCAGCGCCGAGCAGCGCCGAGCAGCGCCCGAUGGAUGGCGGAGAAGAGGAACCGGCUGAGCGCCUUUCCACGCCACGAGUGGAGCGGACGUUCCGGCCCGGAGAGAAGAUGAGGUUCUGUUUGCGUAUGAGGCCAUCGGUGGA